GCGUGAAGCCCCCCUCAAGAUGAGAUUUCCCACCGCGUCAGGCGGGUAAGAUCCCUCGAAGAUGACGAGGUCGAUAGGUCCGAGGUGGAAGCGUGGCGACACGUGGAGCUGACGGAUACUAAUCGAUCGAGGGCUUAACCUAA
rnacentral:rRNA from 1 species